rnacentral:tRNA from 1 species
GGAGAGAUGGCUCAGUGGUUAAGAGCACUUGGCUGCCCUUCCAGAGAGCCUGAGUUCAAUUCCCAGUACCUACA